rnacentral:lncRNA from 1 species
CUCAUAGCCUGUUAUACAUUAAAAAGUAUUAGUAAGUUCAUAGUAUGUGAGGAUCUUAAAACAUCUAAGGUUAAAAAGAUCAUGCAUUCUGUAUUACUUGAUAGAGAUUGAUAACAUUCAUAAUUGUGUGAAAGUUAAAAUCCAUCAAGCGUACAAAAGGUAAGAAUUGUAAAAGGAAUGUGUAAACGUUAUAUUGAUUACUUUAUUUUGUGGUGCCUAAUUGAAGGGGAAAAGUGUUAAUCUGUGAUCUACUAAAUGCUCUUUAAUCUAUGAGCCUGAGAUCGAUUGCUCUGGUCUCCACCCAAGUUCGCGGGGAAAUCGCGGUCUUUUCCUCAUUACAGUAAAAGUUCUCAUUGAGGAAACAAUACCGUAUCACUCUCGUGAUUAUUUCUCCCCUUUUUCAGGGGCGUAACAUUUUUGGAGGCUCCGCUGAGAUUGCUGCUCAGAUGUCCAGUUUCCACAUCCUGGUCGCUGAAUUCCGAGCCAGCUAAAUCCCCACAUAACAACUCAGGCAGGCUGCAGUGAGGAAAGUGUUGCUGUUCGAGGAGAGCUGGAAGUUGGUGGUUAAGUACGUGUCAGCUGAGGCCAUUGAUCGACCAUCAGAGACAGUAAGGACCAUCUAAUUCAGAGUCAACUCCUGCACAGUAAAAGUUCCUCCUGUUCUGUCAACAUGACGACCGCCUUGGGAGAACUACAGGAAGAGGUAGUAGGAGAAUUGCACACCCUGACUAAAGACAAGUUACUAGAGAUAUGUGAUUUCCUUGACAUCUCAGGCGAACAGAGAAGAGAUGUUCAAGACAAAUCCCGCAUAUCAGUGAUGACUCACAUUAUGAGGUUCCUUGAAAGAGAGGAAGCUGCAGAGUUAGAAGAUGGCGGCAUGUCGGAAUUGUUGCUACUUAAAGACAAAAUGACAGAUGAUCAGUGGCAUAGAUAACAAAACAGGGCAAACUGACCAUGAUAUUGAAACAGCCGGAACACAUCACAGAAUAGACGAACUGAGAACUGCAACCCCACAACAAGGGGUGGGAACUGAGCAGAUUACUGCAGCCAAAGCCAGUGAUUCUCUGCAUCAGCCCCAACCCCAUGCUAAUCUUCAGGUGAGCGUGACGCUCUCACCCAGUGCACAGCCCAGCUCAUACUGGCGCAAAGAGUUUAAAAUUUCUGGUCAGAUAGGUGAACCGGGCCAGAAAGAUAAACGGAUUUUUUUCCAGCCUUGCCCAUCAGAUCGAGAAUGGACUUAACAGAGGCUAUCCUGAGGUAGAAAUAGUAGACGCAGUAGUCAGGGCUAUUUCUCCAGGCUCACAGCUACGCAGCCACUUGGAGGGUAAACCCCAGCUAACCCUUCCCACACUUAGAUGUAUCCUGCGUUCCCACUUCCAAGAGAAGAGUGCAACAGAGCUUUACAAACAGCUAGCUUCAGAAGCACAGCAUAGCAAGGAGACCCCUCAAAGCUUCCUGAUGCGCGUCUUAGAUUUGAGGCAGAAAGUACUGUUUGCAUCCCAGGAGUCAGAAUCAGGGCUUAAGUAUGACCCUGCUCUAGUCCAGCGCAUGUGUUUACACACAGUCCUUACAGGUCUCCAGAGUGACAGUAUCAGGAUAGACAUGCAGCCUCUCCUGCUAGAUAGCGAAACAUCAGAUGAGGUUUUGCUAGAGAAGCUUAACAUUGCUUGUGCUAAUGAGAUAGAAAGACGAAACAAAAGGCGGUUUAAUUCCCCACAGCCUGCUACAACGGUAAGUGUAGUCCAGUUAGAAGAUACGCCAUCUGCAAAGUGCCCUGUGAAGGAAGCCAAAGCUAAGAUACCCGCAGAACUGUUAACAGAGUUAGCUGAACUUAAGACAGGUGUAGCUUCUCUAAAAGGUCUCAGUGCAGAGAUUGCUCAGAUUAAGGAGACAUUACAGCAGCCUGUUUCAGUCACCGCCUUGUGCCUAUGCCCCACCUCCAGUUAGGAGGCCAGAUAGGGACCCCCAGCCACCUGUUUCCCAGCAGCACUAUUACAGCAACUACAGUCAGCCCCAAGCACCUGACCCUGCGCAGCAUCAAUAUGCACCUAACCUGUAUACCAACCGUUCUGCUCAAGCUCCAAGGAGGUGUUUUGUCUGCCAGCAGGCCAGAACAGAUGCACGCUGCACACACUGCUUCCGAUGUGGGAGUGGAGAACAUUUUCAAGCUGGAUGUAAAAUCCGGGGAGUCAGACCAUCAAGAGAGGCCCCUUUAAACGGGGAAGGGUUACCGCUGAGGGACAAGUGUUAACCGUAGCUACCAAAAAGUCCCAGAAAUGUGCAAAUUGUGCCAGAGAAGAUUCAUUUGAGAACCUGAAACAAUGUUCAUCAUGUAAAGAGACACUGUACUGUUCCAAAGUAUGUCAAAACCAACAUUGGACUAAACAUAAGGAAAAAUGCAGUCACCUGAAAAUUGACUCUACCAGGGAAAGGUUUUCCUGCACAGAGGGAAAUGCCCACUCUUUACCAUCCCUAGCUCAAGGUUGCCACCCCCGUAAGGUCACCUCGCUAGUCGGCAGACAGUGCCUUAUUGAGUGUCACCUGAAUCGCCACCACCUCCAAGCUCUAUGGGACACAGGCUCUCAGGUAUCGGUCAUUGAUGAACGAUGGAAAGAGGAAUCUCUCCCAAACGCAAGGCUGAGAGAUGUUUUAGAAAUCCUGGACUCACCUGAUGAUCUAAGGUUGACUGCAGCAAAUGGGACUGAAAUGCCAUACCUGGGAUGGAUUGAAACAACUUUUCGGCUAGCCUCUGAAACUGACCAAACAAAGGAACUGAUCAUCCCAGUGCUGGUAAUGAAAGGCUGUCACCUAUCUCAUCCCAUCAUAGGUUUCAAUGUUAUCGAGCACAUCCUGACAAUGACCGACAAGACUAAACAAUACAGUAAAAACAGCUUUCCCAAGCCUCAAAAGAAACAAGGUGAGAGCUUUUAUACAGGCUGUUAGCGCAGAACAGACAGAUGAAUAUGCAGUGAAAACCAAGAAAGAGAAGGUUGCUGUACCAAAACACAGUAGCAUUCAGAUUGAGUGCCGUGUAGCUUCCCAGCCUUUCAAAGAGGACAUGACAAUGCUUUUCCAGCCAGACCUGAACCCGCAGUGGCCAGACGGCCUUGAGUUCUUUGACACACUAGUCAGUCAGGAAAGGUGUUUUUCCAGUUAUCAUGCUUGAUGUCUCUAACCCCACUGACCACGACAUUGCCCUGCUAGGAUGCACAAUAAUCGGUACAGUACAAACCAUUAUGACUGUUACCUGCCCAGGUCUUUGAAAAAACUGUCACCCCAGCCACAGUGAAUAACACAAGCGUUCAAACCCCAUGUACUGCUACUGAACAGAGGGAUCCACCAGUAGGUUUAAAUCAACUCACCGAAGAGCAGAGAGAGGUUGUUAGGCAAAUGCUUAGAGAAGAGUGUCACUCCUUCUCCAGAUCAGACAAUGACAUUGGCUGUAUUGAACGAUUGAAAAUGACUAUUUCUCUAAACCAGUCAAGCGCACAUACAUGUCAGUGCCCAGGCCACUGUAUCAGGAGAUGAAGGGUUACCUUUAUGACCUCAUAGCCCAGGGCUGGGUUAGGAAGUCAAACUCUUCAUAUUCUUCACCUGUCGUGUGCGUUCGGAAGAAGGACGGGACCCUCCGGUUGUGUAUAGAUUACAGAGACUUGAACAGAAAGACACAUCCCGACCGCCAGCCCAUCCCUCGGGUCCAAGACAUCAUGGACAGUUUAGGUGGUAAUUCCUGGUUCUCCCUCUUAGAUCAGGGAAAAGCGUAUCACCAGGGGUUCAUCUCUGAAGAAAGCAGACCACUGACAGCAUUUGUGACCCCAUGGGGACUCUGAGUGGAUAUGUAUGCCAUUCGGCCUCAUGAACGCUCCUGCAGCUUUUCAGCGGUGUAUGGAGGAUUGUUUGGAAGGGCUCCGGGAUAACAUUGCAUUCCUUAUCUGGACGACACGCUAGUUUUCAGUAAAACAUUCGACAGCCAUGUGAAUGAUGUGCGAAAAGUUUUGCAGCGUCUCAGAGAGUAUGGCAUUAAACUCAAACCAAGUAAGUGUGAUCUCUUUAAACCGCAGGUCUGUUAUUUGGGUAGAAUAGUGUCUGCAGAGGGCAGCCGAGUUGACCCAGCCGAUUUUGAAGCAGUAAGAGCAUUGAAAGAAAUCAGACCAGAGACUGUGGGCCAGCUCAGAAAAAUGCUUUGUUUACUCACUUACUACAGACAGUACAUCAAAGACUUUUCUAGGAGGGCCAGCUGCCUGUAUGACCUCCUGAAAGCAGAUUCAGAGAAAUUACCUCACCACCCACGGAAAACAAAAACAAAGAAAGUAAGUAAUGUGGUGCCCUCAAACAAGCCAAUCCUGUGGACUGACCAGCAUCAACAGGCACUUGAACAGCUGAUUGAGUGUUUGCUUCACCCACCAGUCUUAGGUUUCCCUGAUUUCACUCAGCCAUUUGUUGUACACACUGAUGCGUCACACCAAGGCUUGGGAGCAGUUCUGUAUCAAAAGCAAGAUGGGAAGCUUAGGGUCAUUGCUUAUGGCUCUCGAACCUUAACAGCAGCUGAGAAGAACUAUCACUACCACUCGGGCAAGCUAGAAUUUCUAGCUCUAAAAUGGGCAAUCACUGAUAAGUUCCGUGAUUAUUUGUACUAUGCUCCGACCUUCACUGUAUACAGCGAUAACAACCCGCUCAGCUACAUUCUGUUUACUGCAAAACUGAACACAACCACUUCCAGGUGCGUUGCAGAAUUGGCUGAUUUCCACUUUACAAUAAAGUACAGGCCAGGCAGAGAGAAUGGUGAUGCAGAUGCUUUGUCAAGGAUGCCACUGGAUGUAGAGUCACUGAUGGAAGAAUGUUCUGAGGAGCUUCCACCAGACACCAUUGCCGCCACGAUACAAGCAGUUGAGGUACAGAAAGAGGCUGUUGUACCUUGGUCACUUUCAGCUGCAUCUAUGUCAGUAUCAGCUGAAGGUGAGACAACCACUGCAACAAUCAGCUCGAUCCCAAAAGAUGGGAUAAGAGAAGCACAAGAAUCUGAUCCGGUCAUCCGUCCUGUGCUCAAUUUCAAACUGUCUGGUUCCAAACCGCCAGUUAAAGAGCAAAAGGAAUGCAGUCCAAAGACAAAAUGCCUAUUCAGGGAAUGGGACAAAUUGACAAUAGACAGUGAUGGCAUUCUGUACAGAAUCACUACAGCCCGCAAGCAGUUAGUUCUACCAGAGCAGUACAAAAGGUAAAGUAAUGGAAGAGUUGCACAAUAACAUGGGACACCAAGGUACUGACCGCACUGUAUCACUAGUACGUGACCGCUUCUUCUGGCCAUAUAUGCAAGCUGACAUCGAGCACUAUGUGACUAAAACUUGUAGCUGUGUCAAGCAGAAAAAGCCAGCCCAUGAAACAAGAGCUCCUCUGACAAACAUUGUGACGACACAGCCAUUUGAACUGGUAUGUAUAGACUUCCUUCAUCUCGACAGAUGCAAAGGGGGAUAUGAGUACAUCCUCGUGAUUGUUGAUCAUUUUACACGUUUCACUCAAGCCUACGCCACCACAUCAAAGUCAGGUAAAACUGCUGCAAAUCUCAUCUUCAAUGACUUUGCCCUGAAGUUCGGGUUCCCGUCCCGCAUCCACCAUGACCAAGGGGGAGAAUUUGAAAAUCAGUUGUUCCAUCAAUUAAAGAAACUCAGUGGCAUGGCGGGGUCCAGAACAACACCCUAUCACCCGAUGGGGAACGGUCAAGUGGAACGCAUGAACAGAACAGUGUUGCAAAUGUUAGACACUAACUGAGACACAAAAGUCAAACUGGAAGGAGUCUCUGAACAAACUGGUUUAUGCCUAUAACUGCACCCGUUGCGAAGUGAUUGGCUAUUCACCAUUUUAUCUUCUGUUUGGGAGAUCACCCAGGCUUCCAGUUGAUAUGCUCUUUGGAUUGUGCACAGAGGCAGGUUCCAGUAACCAGCGAGACUAUGUGGAGAACUGGAAACGAGGGAUGGAAGAAGCAUACGCCAUUGCAAAUGAAAAUGCUCAGAAAGCCGCUGAAAGAAGUAAGAAGUACAAUGACACUAAAGUUAGGAGUUCAGUGCUACAGCCUGGCGAGCGAGUUCUGAUUAAAAACCUGACACCAAGAGGAGGACCAGGAAAACUCCGUAACUAUUGGGAAGAUACAAUUCACACAGUAGUGAGACAAAUGGGUUCAGACCUGCCAAUUUAUGAAUUGAGACCAGAAAAGGGUAGCGGACGCUCCAGGGUCCUGCACAGAAACCUGCUCAUGUCCUGUGACCACUUACCUUUUGAGACACAACCAGAAAUGACCAACGAUGACAAAAGUCAGAAAAAAAGGAGACAUCAGCCUGAAUCAGAGCCUCUAGAUUCUGAUGAAGACAGCGGGGAUGAAUAUGACCUUCAUCAUGAGCCGCUACAGGUUCCCACAUCUCCUACAGUACCUGAGGAGAGGGAUGCUGAACCAGCAAGAGAGUGGGAACACAGGCCCCCACCAGUGAAACAGACAGUUGCAGUGCCAGUCCCUGAUACGCAACCAGGGACUGGCUGAAAAACGGCUGGAGGAGACAACAACAGUUAAAGACCUGCCUGCUGAGGAGAUGAACUUGCCUGCUGAAAAUUUGCCUACAGCAAUGUUACUUUCAGCCACCUUACAUGUAUGGGCUUCAGCAAACAUGAGGCUACAGAGUUGACAUGUUUGACCAUGGACUACUGACUGAUUUCACAGACUGUCACAAGAGACAAUUUGCAGACUAUGCAUAAUGAUCAUUAAAAUUGAUGGACUGUUGAUCAAUAGUAUGAGAAAAGACUGCUUAUGGACUGUUUAUACAGCUGGUCAACAGAUAUGGACUGUGAAAAUAACUUGUUAGUUAUAUUUGAACUGUGACCCUUGACCUCUGCUCAAGUACUACCUUACAGAAGAGUAUUUCCUAGGUCCAGUGCAUACAGACUGUUGAAGAAGACGAUGUUGGUAAUGUUGGGACAACAUUUAUUUUGUCGGGGAGAGUGUGACAGGUUAAAGGAAAUACUCCUAGCCUGUUAUACAUUAAAACGUAUUAGUAAGUUCAUAGUAUGUGAGGAUCUUAAAACAUCUAAGGUUAAAAAGAUCAUGCAUUCUGUAUUAGUUGAUAGAGAUUGAUAACAUUCAUAAUUGUGUGAAAGUUAAAAUCCAUCAAGCGUACAAAAGGUAAGAAUUGUGUUAGGGUUGAACUGGCUAUUUGAAUACAUAACCUUUAUAAUACACUGGGGAAGCUAUGCUACAAUAUUAAGUAUAUGAACUGCGAGUAAAUCAACUGAAGACAAGAAGAACUACAACCGGCAACAGGAAGUGCGUCACGACGCUGGGAUCAGCCUACACGCCGACGACAGGAGGAGCAAGUUUAAACCACGCUCCUCCUCUCUCGGACAGGCCAGCAUUGAGCAGGAACUAUCUCAGUUAGAGUAUAAAAGAGAGAACAAUAGGAUGUGUCGCUCUCUUCUCUGUUUGCCCUGCGAGGUAAAACAGCGAGACCGUAUAUACGAACAACCCAUUUACCACACACGUGUUUGCAUUAAUUAAAGUACAGCUAAAUCAGAAGUUACUAUGUGCUGACUAUUUUGUUCUGUUACCAGAAACGAACUGUCGCAACAUUAACAAUUGUAAAAGGAAUGUGUAAACGUUAUAUUAAUUACUUUAUUUUGUGGUGCCUAAUUGAAGGGGGAAAGUGUUAAUCUGUGAUCUACUAAAUGCUCUUUAAUCUAUGAGCCUGAGAUCGAUUGCUCUGGUCUCCACCCAAGUUCGCGGGCAAAUCGCGGUCUUUUCCUCAUUACAGUAAAAGUUCUAAUUGAGGAAACAACACCGUAUCACUCUCGUGAUUAUUUCUCCCCUUUUUCAGGGGCGUAACAUGGGCAGAACUGAAAAAGCGUGUGUGAGCAAGGAGGCCUACAAACCUGACUCAGUUACACCAGCUCUGUCAGGAGGAAUGGGCCAAAAUUCACCCAACUUAUUGUGGGAAGCUUGUGGAAGGCUACCCGAAAUGUUUGACCCAAUUUAAACAAUUUAAAGGCAAUGCUACCAAAUACUAAUUGAGUGUAUGUAAACGUCUGACCCACUGGGAAUGUGAUGAACGAAAUAAAAGCUGAAAUAAAUAAUUCUCUCUACUGUAAUUCUGACAUUUCACAUUCUUAAAAUAAAGUGGUGAUCCUAACCGACCUAAGACAGGGAAUUUUUACUAGGAUUAAAUGUCAGGAAUUGUGAAAAACUGAGUUAAUGUAUUUGGCUAAGGUGUAUGUAAACCUCCGACUUCAACUGUAUGUUUUUAUAUGUAUGUAUGUAUGUAUGUAUGUAUGUAUGUACAAGUAUAUAUAUAUAUAUAUAUAUAUAUAUAUUAUAACAUUUUUUAAAUAUAUAUGGGGGAUUGGAAGUAAUGCAGACAAUUACACUGAUGGAAGCUACAAUCAAUCUGCAAAAAAACAAUAAAAUAAAACAAGCAUUAUAA